GGUUAUCUCGGUGGGCCCAACAAUCUCAUUGCAAGGCUCCUUCAAGAGGAGGCAGGAGGAUCGAAGAAGAAGACAGAGAUGUGAUGAUGGAAGCGGAGGUUGGAGUGACGUGCGUUAAAGAUGGAGGAGGGGCUGCAAGCCAAGUCGUGCAGGCGGCCUCUAGAAGCUGGGAAAGGCAAGGAGACAGCUUCUUGCUUGGAGACCCCGGGAGAAGCGCAGCCCUGCCAACACCUUGAUUUUACACUUCUGGCCUCCGGAACCGCCGUGCCCGUCCCCUGCCCAUCAUGCCCUUCCAGCUGGCCUUUCAUCCCGCAGCGAACCUCUGUGUGUCCGGCUCAGAGUCUCCAUAAACCGCACCAUGGAGCUGGCCCGAAGGUUGUCAUCAGCAGUAAUUGCAGGCUUUCGACCCCACCCCGGGGACCCCCUUGCGCGGGGAGCCUUCGUUCUUGGACGCAUGGGUGGUAGACAGGCCUCUGCGCCGUCCCCAGGGCAUCACUAUCCUUGUGUCACCCUGCUUCCUUUGUCGUGAGCCAUGGACCAAGGCUCUGGGUGACUCGGCACCCGGUGCUCACAGUGUCUGUGAAACCAGAGCUCCAGAGAUCCCGGGAUGUGAUUCCAGUCCCGCGUCUGCCCCAGCUUCACUGAGGAGGGGGCCCCAGGAGGAAGUGGAGCAGCGGGGGUUCGGCCAUGUGCGUGGGACUCACGUGCUUGUUCCCGCGGGCCUCAUGGCUGGAGACAUCACUUCUACUUGCUUCUGGCUGCUCCUCUCUCCUGUUCUUGGGCGUGUGGCUUUCUUUUCUUCUUUGUGAGGAAGUGCUCUGGGAGGGAAGGAAAGUCACGGAGGGCUGUGGCAUGCCGUGGGCACGGGCCACUUCUCAAAGCCACCUGGGCGGCAGGCCUGGCUAGCCCAUCUUACAGAGGGGGAAACUGAGGCUGAGCUGCACAAUGAUGAGCAAGGGGGGCAUUGCUUCCGAGCUUGGCAGCCAGGAGACCUCCCCUCUGCCAUGAAGGCCCUGCUGCUGUCCCCUUGCUUUUCUGUGACAUGUGACGUUGAGAAGGCCAUGC
rnacentral:lncRNA from 1 species